ACAAGGAAACAAUACAGCAGAACCUCAGAGUUACAAACACCAGAGUUACAAACUGACUGGUCAACCACACAUCUCAUAUGAAACCAGAAUCACGCAAUCAGUUUAAUCAAUGAUAGUCUGUGUUUAAGGAACCAUUCCAGCUAUACCCACAAAUCACAUGGAAAAUAUUGGAACAUUGUUGGUGUCAGUACAGAUAACACCUUUACUUGUAUG